AUUGAACGCUGGCGGCAGGCCUAACACAUGCAAGUCGAGCGAGCGGCGGACGGGUGAGUAAUGUAUGGGGAACUGCCCGAUAGAGGGGGAUAACUACUGGAAAAGGUGUCUAAUACCGCCAUCUGGCGGCUGAACCUAUAUGGGAUUAGCUAGUAGGUGGGGUAAAGGCUCACCUAGGCGACGAUCUCUAGCUGGUCUGAGAGGAUGAUCAGCCACACUGGGACUGAGACACGGCCCAGACUCCUACGGGAGGCAGCAGUGGGGAAUAUUGGACAAUGGGCGAAAGCCUGACGCAGCCAUGCCGCGUGUAUGAAGAAGGCCUUAGGGUUGUAAAGUACUUUCAGCGGGGAGGCGUUACCCGCAGAAGAAGCACCGGCUAACUCCGUGCCAGCAGCCGCGGUAAUAC
rnacentral:rRNA from 1 species